rnacentral:lncRNA from 1 species
GGGUGAAGCAGCAGCGUCUGGAGGAUCAACAGGCUGAUGUGGAGUUUGAGAUCAGACGCCUCUUUAACAAACCAGAGCAGGACUGGAGCUCUGAUGACAAACAUCAGGAAGAUCAGCUGAUGUCACGCCUGCUGUCAAUCAUCCAGCAGAGAAAUGACAUCAUCAGCAGCCUGGAUCAGGACAGGCAGAGGGAGGAGGAGGAGGACUCGAUGCUGACUGCUGUGAUCCAGAGGAUGGAGUUCCUGACACAGACGGACAAACAGCUGGACAAAUGCAGCAGGAGCUUUAAACGCCUUCAAAUGUUCAAGAAAUCCAGCUGUAAGACUGAAAACACCAGCAGAAGAAAGAAGAAAAACAGCUGAAGAACAGAAAGAGCCUGUUUAUUAAAUAAUGUCCAAAACUGGAAAAUAAAAACACCCAUCAGGACAAACUGAACUGUUUAUUUAAAAGUUCAUAAGCAUGUAGCAUGGCCACAUCUUAUCAGUUUUUAUCAUUUCUAUCUUCAAUUGUAUUCAUUUUUAUACUUAUUUAUUUGUGACAUCAUUAUGUGUUUUUGUUUUUAAGCUAAGAUGUGUUGAGCAUUAGUUAUUGCACGCUUCCCAUUCAAACCACAAUCUCAUCAUUGCAAGCCCUCCAGCUAAGCAACAUCUUAGCAACAUGUUUAGUGAAUAAGCAACAUCUCUUCCUGUUGUCUCUACUAGUGGGAAAAAAUAAGCUUUUCACAGCUUUAAAUCAACUGAACAAAUUGCUUAGUAUUUGAUUCACUAUUUCGAGCUGGUGACGCGCUGCUGGUCAAAAUUGUGUAAAUGCAACUAAAACUCACCCGCAAGCUCAGUCUAUGAAUUAGCAAAUCAUUAAAUGGCAUUAAAUAUGACGUUUCUGUAACAUUGUCCUUGUUUUAUUAGACAGGGCUUGACGGUACAUCUCACUCUCAUUUUUGUUUUAUACACGCAUUCAUAUUAAAAUUAAUCAAUUAAAAAUGAACCUGCC